rnacentral:tRNA from 1 species
AAAGGUGUAGCUCAGUGGUAGAGUGCAUGCUUAGCAUGCACAAGGUCCUGGGUUCAAUCCCCAGUACCUCCA